rnacentral:lncRNA from 1 species
GGAGCCACUCAGUAGGGGAGGAGAAUGUCCUAGAUGGACAGCAUGGAUGUUUGCUCUAUGGUAAAGAAGGAAGACAAAGAAAAAAUGUCCUCCACUUCCUUCAGUCCUUUCUACCACAGACUGAGCAAUGUUGGGAGAGGGGAAAAGCUUUGAAUCCGAUAGGAGAUGGGAAAUCAGACUGCACAAACUAUUAAAACCAAAAGGUGGCUAAGAAGUUAGGGAGCCUGCCCAGGAUAUUGUUAAAUGAUCUGCUACAGGGAGGGAGGGGCCACUUAGGAGGCUUUGGAGAGGAAAAAAACACACCCAACCUCAUGCUUCAACCCCAGUGAGAAGACGCCUUUAAAUCAACUGUUACAUGUAGUUGAUGAUUUACUGACACUUCUAGGUUAGACAUCAAGGCCAAGUCCAUCUGGCUAAGGCAUAACUACAAGACCAAUUCCUUUGAAGUGAGAACACAGGCCUUCUUCACUAGUCCAUCUUGGGAGGAUAGCGGCUCAAUGAAAAAACAGCCAGCCCGUGAGGAGGUGACAUCCUAUGGUAUCGGGUAUCAUUAGGGCUCUGCUUGUGGGUCUGGGAUGUUGCUUUAGGUGAUGUGAAAUAUCAGGACUGUUUCCUUUCAGGCUAAUCUUAAUGUGUAUUUUAAAUUAAAGAGAAAAAUCCAGGACACUUAGAGACAUAAAUCAGUGAAGAUUCUUUGUUCUGUAUCUAAAACAAUGUGACACAACAUUUAUGUAUUCCCACUGGCUCUCCUUGUGUAUUUUUUUACGUUUAUUUAUUUAUUUUUGAGAGACAGAGACAGAGCACAAGUAGGGGAGGGGCAGAGAGAGAGAGAAGGAGACACAGAAUCCGAAGGAGGCUCCAGGCUCUGAGCUGUCAGCACAGAGCCUGACACGGGGUUCGAACUCACAAACUAUAAGAUCAUGACCUGAGUUGAAGUCGGACAUUUAACUGACAGAGUCACCCAGGCGCCCUACCUUGUGCAUUUCUUUUUAUAAUUCUUUUUCUGCAAAUGUUCAACCAGAUCUUGACCUUUCCUUUUUUUGGUUGGGAGGAGGGAUAAGGCCAUGCCUUCAUUAGGGCUUCAGUGAUCUUCGUGGAGUUCCCCUGCACAGACGUGAUGGGCAGAAGAAUAUUCAGUCAUGACUGCAUGCCUCCGUUGGGGUGUAACCAGGAGCAGGGCUUUUUAGUAGCAAUAUGAAACAUGAAGCUGGCAUAAUUUUGGAUAGAGAUGUUUCUUAGAGGAGCUUGGCUAACAUCUCCUUCUCUCUAUAUUGAAAUAUACCUUCUAGAGAAGGACACAUAUCUUAUUUAAGAACAAUAGGCAGCAGUAACAUUUUGCUACUUCUAUUUCUUUCCCACAGGAAAAAAAAAAACAAUCAUCCACAUGGUAAACGUAAGGGAGUUUUUGAACUUCAAAGGAUAAUUUGACUAAAGGUCUUGAAGAAACAGAUACCAUCAAGAGGAGACUGGGUGAAUAAGAUUGUGGUUGGAGGCAGAGAAAAUUGUUACUACAUUGCUAUAAUAUGUGUCAGCACUGCUGCUCACAGUGGCUCAGGUUGUACACUGCACUGAUCCAGGUAGCUCGUUUCAUGUAGAUUGGGUGAAUGGCAUAUGUUGGAAUUGAGUAAUGUGGUAGCUCCAGGGAUGUUAUACCUUGUACUAUUAGCUGUGAGAUUUAAACUCUGUAUACUGAUCACUUGAACUUAUUUUAUUAUUAUCUUUUUAAAGUUCAUUUAUUUAUUUCGAGAGGGAGGGAGAGUGCACGUGUGCGUGAGUGUUAGAGAGAAAGAGAGAGAGGGAGGGAGGGGGGAGGGACAAAGAGAGAGGGAGAGAGAAUCCCAAGUAGGCUCCAUACUGUGAUUGCAGAACCCAAUUGGGGGCUUGAACUCAGGAACUGUGGGAUCAUGACUUGAGCCAAAAUCAAGAGUCGAAUGCUUAACCAACUGAGCCACCCAGGUGCCCCUUGAUCACUUGACUUUAUAGAAAGUCAGGCAUGCCUUUAGCAAUAACUGCUAUUUUUCAGAUGCAAUUAGGAGGCUUUCUUUAGAUGACUAGUCAUGUGAGGGAGAUCCUUCUGUGAAUGGGGCUGAGUAUUUUCUGGGAAGUAAAGAAGGCUGCGAGUGUUGGAAGACCAUGGAAUUAUGCUGAGGAGGGCGGGAAGUAACAACACAUUGUAGCCGCCUCUGUGUUGAAAAACCUUGUUAGGCACAGUUUUAAACCUAGCCACUUCUUUUUUUUUUUUUUUUUUUUUUUUUUUUUUUCAACGUUUAUUUAUUUUUGGGACAGAGAGAGACAGAGCAUGAACGGGGGAGGGUCAGAGAGAGAGGGAGACACAGAAUCGGAACGAGGCUCCAGGCUCUGAGCCAUCAGCCCAGAGCCCGACGCGGGGCUCGAACUCACGGACCGCGAGAUCGUGACCUGGCUGAAGUCGGACACUUAACCGACUGCGCCACCCAGGCGCCCUAAACCUAGCCACUUCUUAGGUGUCUUUUAAAGCAAAGGAGUCUGGCAAGGCAGAAAUAAAGGGAUUGUAUAGCAUUAUGGUCUCUGGCACUGGAAUGCCUGGGUUUAAGGUAAGCCUUUAUUCACAGUACAACUUUGAGCAUGUUCCUUGACCUCUGUGUGCUUCAUUUUUCUCCCCUGGAAAAUGGGGAUACUAGAGGUGCUUAUAUAAUGGGUUGUCAUAAGGAUUAAAGACGUUGACCCACAUGAAGUGGUUAAAACAUUAUCUGGAAAAGAGUUACAAUUCAAAAAAUAUUAACCACUUAAAAAUUAUCUCAGACACUCUGCUUUGACAAAAGGUUGGAUCUGUUUAGUUGGCUUUCUUUGAGAAUCCACCUAAAUUUAAAGGGGAUCCUAAUAAUUUUAUUAUAGGCUGUACCUUCUUCUAGCAAGUGUCAUAGCGAAUUUUAUUUGAGGGAGAGCUGAGGAAUUUUAUUGAGAAGUCUGACUUGGGUAGAGCUUUUCUCCUUCUCAGAUGCUAUGGAAUAUUGAUCAAUAUUGGGGAGUUAAAUAUGGGAGACACUAUGAAUUUUUGUUGUGGCAUAUCUAUAGUUAGGCUGCAAAUUAUUCUGGGAACAUAACAGCGCUGUGUUCUGAAGCAUGAUAUAAUGUAGUCAAAGGAAUUUAGGCAUUUGGAGAGUGAGAGACAAAGUUGGAAUUUCUGGUCUGCUCCUGACCAGCAUGUAAUUCUGAAUAUCAACACCGGAGCCACCAUUUGCCAUAUAAUGACUUUAUCAGUUUUCAUAUAGUAUUUCUAAUUCUGCUCACAUUCCAUUAUUGAGACUUUGAUUUAUUUAACAAAUGAUAAUUGAGGGCCUAGUGUCAGGCAGAGCACUAGGGAAAUGGGGACAGCAUGAGACUCUGGUAGUUAGUAUUUUCCCCAUUUUACACAUCUGAGAACUGGCUCAGAUCAAUGAAAUAGCUUCUCUAAAAUCGCAAGCUUAUAACGUGGCAAGUUAUUUAAUCUUUAUGAGCCUCAGUUUGUUAUUUUUUUUUUUAUAAAAAGGAGGGAUGAUAUCUGCCAGUAGCUAGUAUAUAUGGAGAUGAAAAUGCUUCCCUUGUUGGUUGGAUAACACAGGAAGCUGGGCAUUUGUGACAUUCAAUAAGUAGUGGAUAACAGAAACAACCGUAAUCGGUGAAGGUUAGUUUCAACGCAUUUUGUAGGAAGAUCUAGUUUAGGAGUCUCCUAAAUCACUAGGAUCAGUGAUGAGCAUGACUUUGUCCAUCUCUCUUAGUUGACUGAGUGGAGUGUUUAUUGAGGUUUGCGUAGGAGUCCCACUUCGGGAUCUAGGAAAGACCUAUCUAUGCAGAGCUAACUAUAGAAGAUGAGCAUUCAGUUUCCCCUGUUGGGGAUAUGACUGUCCUCAUAAUUGCUUUGCAUACCUUGUCUCUUACUGUUCACAGUUUAAAAGUUUUCAAAAUCAAAUAACAGUAUGAAGCCAAAUCAAAAGAUGACUGACGAAAAAAGACAAAACCAUUAAACUGCGACAUACAUUCAGAUUUAAGCAUUGAAAUAACAGUCAAAGGGCCAAAGUUCUUUGUUUGAAUACAAGUGUGAGGUAUAUCCCCAAGGCAGGAGCAGAGCUAAUGACGAUUUCAGGUAAAGCUUCUGAAGGUGGAGGCUGACGAGAGCCCAUCCAACAGGGCCAGGAACUGGAACCUUCCAGGCAGGCACCAACCACCUUAAACCACAUCAGAGAAAAGCAUCCCUAUCAGCUGAGGUAAGCCUUCUUGUCUGCGGUGUUCCUGGUCAGGCAGCAUGGAACACACAACCCCCAGAACCCAGGCAUCAUUCUUUCUGACUUUUCCAUCUCCAGAGAUCCUUACCGGCUUUAAAUCUAACUUCUGUGUAUGGAAUGAAGAACGUUGUUCCUUGUCAAAGGAAUCUCCGGUGUCUGUGAUUGAGUUGGUGACCUCAAACAAUUUAUUUAGCCUGAGUCUACUUCUGAAACUGUAAACAGGGAUAACAAAACCUACCUCAGAGCAGAGGGUGGUUGUGAGAACUUGGAGGGGCAGCAUAUAUAAAGCAGCCAGCACAGUCCCUGGCCCAGACAAGCUGGUCACGAAAUAUGAACAGAGGGUCCUUCCCGGAUAUCCCUGCCACCAGCGGCCUGUCUGCUCUCUCUACAGUCCAGGUUCUUUUCAGUCCGCCCUAUGUGCUGACUUUUUGAUCUGAUGGGAGUAGUGCCUAUGGUUUUCGACCAGGUAGUCUCUCAAACUGUCCUGUUCCUACAGGAAAUACCCUAUUUCUGACAGCACUGAUACAUAGUCAGCACUGGGGAAGUUGGUUGUAGUGUGAACUGUGCAUCCUCUUAGCUCUGAUUAGGGUAUCUGCCUAGGAAAUGCAGUAGACAUUUGUUGUAGGUUGGAUUGAGUGGAAGCAGACAUUGGGGCAGAGCUUGGUGUGGAAGAUAUUUAUUUGGUAUUAACUGCUUGUGAAGGAAGAGAGGAGGAAGCAGGAUUGGGUGGAUGGAGGCAGGUCCAACAAAGCUUUGUUCCUCUUGGCAGUGAGCUCUGGGAGUAAAUAUUGUCCCUCAUAUUUGCCCUGUAUUAGCCAGACUGUCUAAGUUUAUACUCCCACCUUGCUUGGACACCAGAUUUGGGUGGUAUCAGAGGGUUUGAGCUCCUGAAAGGUAGUUUGCUUCAGCUUAUGGGAAGCUGAAGGAACUGAUAUCUGAAGCUGUUCUUCCUUGUUGACUGGGACAAUGUCCUUCUUUGAUUAAAAAAAUUUUUUUAAUGUUUAUUUUUGAGAGAGAGAAGACAGGGUGAGUCGGGGAGAGGCAGAGAGAAGAGAGGGAGACACAGAAUCCAGAGCAGGCUCCACGCUUUGAGCUGUCAGCACAGAGCACCAUGUGGGGCUUAAACUCACGAACCAAAAGAUCAUGACCUCAGCCCAGGUCAGACACUUAACUGACUGAGCCACCCAGGCACCCUGAGAAGGUCUUUCUUUUUUUUUUUUUGAUUUUUUUUUUUUUUUUUUUUUUUUUUUUUUUUNNNNNNNNNNNNNNNNNNNNNNNNNNNNNNNNNNNNNNNNNNNNNNNNNNNNNNNNNNNNNNNNNNNNNNNNNNNNNNNNNNNNNNNNNNNNNNNNNNNNNNNNNNNNNNNNNNNNNNNNNNNNNNNNUGACCUGGCUGAAGUCGGAUGCUUAACCGACUGCGCCACCCAGGCGCCCCAAGAGAAGGUCUUUCUUUGAAUGUCUACCAUAACAUUCUUUAAUGACGAAAGAUAUCAUUCCUGUUCAGGUACUCCCUCACAAGACCACUGAUAAUCUGUAGACAUUGAUCUGGGGAGGCUGGGAUAAAAAUUUAAUCCUAUAACUAAAUAAAAGGAAACUGCUAAAAUAUUUACAGUAAAAUGUGCCAAGUUCCCAGGACAAAUCUCUUCAUAAAACACAUUUACCCAAGAGCACAUCGUGCUCUGGGGAAAUAAGAUACACAUUGCCGCUCUGGUAUUGUCUUUCUAAAGUCUUAUAUUACAAAAUACAAAUAAACAAUAA